rnacentral:lncRNA from 1 species
AUGUGUGCUUAUGCAUGUGUCCCUGUGUACAGGAGUGUGUGUGUUUAUACAUGCAUCCCUGUGCACAGGGGUGUGCUUCUGUAUGCAUGUGUCCCCAUGUACAUGUGUGUGUGUUUAUGCAUGCAUCCCCAUGUACAGGUGUGUUUAUGCAUGCAUCCCCGUGUACAAUGUGUGUGUGUGUGUAUGCAUGCAUCCCCGUGUACAAUGUGUGUGUGUGUUUAUGCAUGCAUCCCCAUGUACAGGUGUGUUUAUGUAUGCAUCUCCGUGUACAGGUGUGUGUGUGUGUAUGCAUGCAUCCCCAUGUACAGGUGUGUUUAUGCAUGCAUCCCCAUGUACGAUGUGUGUGUGUGUGUGUUUAUGCAUGCAUCCCCGUGUACAGGUGUGUGUGUGUUUAUGCAUGCAUCCCCGUGUACAAUGUGUGUGUGUGUUUAUGCAUGCAUCCCCAUGUACGAUGUGUGUGUGUGUGUGUUUAUGCAUGCAUCCCCGUGUACAAUGUGUGUGUGUGUUUAUGCAUGCAUCCCCGUGUACAAUGUGUGUGUGUGUGUACGCAUGCAUCCCCGUGUACAGGUGUGUGUGUUUAUCAUGCAUCCCCAUGUACAUGUGUGUGUGUUUAUGCAUGCAUCCCCAUGUACAGGUGUGUUUAUGCAUGCAUCCCCAUGUACGAUGUGUGUGUGUGUGUUUAUGCAUGCAUCCCGUGUACAAUGUGUGUGUGUUUAUGCAUGCAUCCCGUGUACAAUGUGUGUGUGUGUACCAUGCAUCCCCGUGUACAGGUGUGUGUGUUUAUCAUGCAUCCCCAUGUACAUGUGUGUGUGUUUAUUCAUGUGUCCCCAUGUACAGGUGUGUGUGUUUAUGCAUGCAUCCCCAUGUACGAUGUGUGUGUGUGUGUGUGUGUGUUUAUGCAUGUGUCCCUGUGUACAGGGGUGUGUGUGUUUAUGCAUGUGUCCACA